rnacentral:rRNA from 1 species
GGUAUGGGAUGAGCUUGCGUCCGAUUAGCUAGUUGGCGGGGCAACGGCCCACCAAGGCGACGAUCGGUAGCCGGCCUGAGAGGGUGAUCGGCCACAUUGGGACUGAGAUACGGCCCAGACUCCUACGGGAGGCAGCAGUAGGGAAUAUUGCACAAUGGGGGAAACCCUGAUGCAGCAACGCCACGUGUGGGAAGAAGCAUUUCGGUGUGUAAACCACUGUCAUGAGGGAAUAAGGCCCGCCUCCGGACGGGAUUGAAUGUACCUUGAGAGGAAGCACCGGCAAACUUCGUGCCAGCAGCCGCGGUAAUACGAGGGGUGCAAGCGUUGUUCGGAAUUACUGGGCGUAAAGGGAGCGUAGGCGGAGAUUCAAGCGGAUUGUACAAUCCCGGGGCCCAACCCCGGCUCUGCAGUCCGAACCGGAUCUCUUGGAUAGUUCAGGGGCAGGC